UACGUAGGGUGCGAGCGUUGUCCGGAAUUAUUGGGCGUAAAGAGCUUGUAGGCGGUUUGUCGCGUCUGCUGUGAAAACCCGGGGCUCAACUUCGGGCUUGCAGGCGAUACGGGCAGACUUGAGUGUUUUCAGGGGAGACUGGAAUUCCUGGUGUAGCGGUGAAAUGCGCAGAUAUCAGGAGGAACACCGGUGGCGAAGGCGGCGAUCUGGGUCGAUACUGACGCUGAGGUGCGAAAGCGUGGGGAGCAAACAGG
rnacentral:rRNA from 1 species